rnacentral:rRNA from 1 species
GAUAAACGCUGGCGGCGCACAUAAGACAUGCAAGUCGAACGGACCAAAACCUUAGUUUACUUUGGUAGAGGUUAGUGGCGGACUGGUGAGUAACACGUAAGCAACCUGCCUAUCAGAGGGGAACAACAGUUAGAAAUGACUGCUAAUACCGCAUAUGCCAUAAUCACCACAUGGUGAUAGUGGGAAAGGAGCAAUCCGCUGAUAGAUGGGCUUGCGUCUGAUUAGAUAGUUGGUGGGGUAACGGCCUACCAAGUCGACGAUCAGUAGCCGGACUGAGAGGUUGAACGGCCACAUUGGGACUGAGACACGGCCCAGACUCCUACGGGAGGCAGCA